rnacentral:lncRNA from 1 species
GGUAGAGGCCUCCCUUCCGAGGAGGCGGUGCUGGGGCGGGCGCAGGACUGCAGGCUGGGGCUCCGCUCCCCGGCGGGAGCCCGCGCGUGGUUCCCAGCGAAGUCCCCGCGCGGCUGGGCCCAGCGUGAGUAUUCUCCGCCCGCUGUCCUCCCCCUGGAGGCGGCAGCGCCCGUUUAUUUGAGGCUUCUAAUGUGAGGAAAAACACGGAAUGACAAGUGUGGGAAAGAGCAAGCACUAAAUUACUGUCAGAAAAAUAAACGGAGUAGCACAGUGCUGCUCGGUGAUUUACGGGGGCAAUUAGUCACCACCCCACGGCGCUGCUGAGGACAGCACGGCAGCAGACAAGUCAGGCCCAUGAGGAAGAAGAGGCUUUGCACUGCUCUCCAGACAACUUUUCAAACAACAAGAGAGGAUAUUUGAGCACAUUAGGUUUUGUGUCUUCAUUCUGGCCGUGUGAAGAUGUGCCUGCUUCGCCUUCCAUCAUGACUGAAGUUUCCUGAGGCCUCCCCAGCUAUGCUCCCUAUACAGCCUGCAGAACGGUCGGCUGCCUCCAAUCCUGAGGUCAUCACUCAUCAAGAGGGGAUAAUCCCAGGGACAGCAGGAUCUGCUUCGUUACUUGGAUUUAGGAGCCAGAAACCCAUCAGGCAACUAAACAGUAACAAUGACCCGCCAUUAAACACACUGAGAGAAGAGCAUGAUGAAGAGUUUGUACAAGAAGAAGCCAGGAGCACUUGCUGACAAUGCUUACAGAGACGCAGGCUUCUAUGAGCUCUGCCUGUUGAACUGCAGUAAAAAUAGAUCUCCUUCCCCAGAGAGGCUUGGAUGUGGGCACAAUAUCAGUUCAGACGAUGGUCAAUGCAUGUACUUAAUAGAGUGAAAAGACUUUGGACUGUGAAGUCAGAUUACCUGGGUCUGAAUUGUUAUUCUUCUACUUCUUUGUAGUAUGCUUUCACCACAUUAAAAAUUGUCUGAGCCUCAA